UACGUAGGUGACCAGCGUUGUCCGGAUUUACUGGGCGUAAAGAGCGCGCAGGCGGUCGUUCAAGUCGAGUGUGAAAGCCCCCGGCUCAACUGGGGAGGGUCACUCGAUACUGAUCGACUUGAAGGCAGGAGAGGGAAGCGGAAUUCCCGGUGUAGUGGUGAAAUGCGUAGAUAUCGGGAGGAACACCAGUGGCGAAGGCGGCUUCCUGGCCUGUUCCUGACGCUCAGGUGCGAAAGCUAGGGGAGCGAACAGG
rnacentral:rRNA from 1 species